GGUUGUAGUUAUUAAUAGUGUCUUACUGUAGGUGAGGGAGAAGGACCUGGUUGUAGUUAUUAAUAGUGUCUUACUGUAGGUGAGGGAGAAGGACCUGGUUGUAGUUAUUAAUAGUGUCUUACUGUAGGUGAGGGAGAAGGACCUGGUUGUAGUUAUUAAUAGUGUCUUACUGUAGGUGAGGGAGAAGGACCUGGUUGUAGUUAUUAAUACUGUCUUACUGUAGGUGAGGGAGAAGGACCUGGUUGUAGUUAUUAAUAGUGUCUUACUGUAGGUGAGGGAGAAGGACCUGGUUGUAGUUAUUAAUAGUGUCUUACUGUAGGUGAGGGAGAAGGACCUGGUUGUAGUUAUUAAUAGUGUCUUACUGUAGGUGAGGGAGAAGGACCUGGUUGUAGUUAUUAAUACUGUCUUACUGUAGGUGAGGGAGAAGGACCUGGUUGUAGUUAUUAAUAGUGUCUUACUGUAGGUGAGGGAGAAGGACCUGGUUGUAGUUAUUAAUAGUGUCUUACUGUAGGUGAGGGAGAAGGACCUGGUUGUAGUUAUUAAUAGUGUCUUACUGUAGGUGAGGGAGAAGGACCUGGUUGUAGUUAUUAAUAGUGUCUUACUGUAGGUGAGGGAGAAGGACCUGGUUGUAGUUAUUAAUACUGUCUUACUGUAGGUGAGGGAGAAGGACCUGGUUGUAGUUAUUAAUAGUGUCUUACUGUAGGUGAGGGAGAAGGACCUGGUUGUAGUUAUUAAUAGUGUCUUACUGUAGGUGAGGGAGAAGGACCUGGUUGUAGUUAUUAAUAGUG